rnacentral:rRNA from 1 species
GACGAACGCUGGCGGCGUGCCUAAUACAUGCAAGUCGAGCGCAGGAAGCUGACGGAACUCCUCGGAGGAAAGGUAGUGGAAUGAGCGGCGGACGGGUGAGUAACACGUAAGGAACCUGCCUCAAGGAUUGGGAUAACUCCGAGAAGUCGGAGCUAAUACCGGAUAGUUCAACGGACCGCAUGGUCCGCUGAUGAAAGGCGCUCCGGCGUCACCUUGAGAUGGCCUUGCGGUGCAUUAGCUAGUUGGUGGGGUAACGGCCCACCAAGGCGACGAUGCAUAGCCGACCUGAGAGGGUGAUCGGCCGCACUGGGACUGAGACACGGCCCAGACUCCUACGGGAGGCAGCAGUAGGGAAUCUUCCACAAUGGACGAAAGUCUGAUGGAGCAACGCCGCGUGAGUGAUGAAGGUUUUCGGAUCGUAAAACUCUGUUGUAAGGGAAGAACACGUACGAGAGGGAAUGCUCGUACCUUGACGGUACCUUACGAGAAAGCCACGGCUAACUACGUGCCAGCCGCCGCCGUAAAAC